CAGAUGCCAAUCCACUCUCCCCAGGUAGCCCAGAUCCAUCGCCACUGAAAUCCAGGUCACUUGAGGGCAGCCCACUUACACUACCCUCAGAGGGCUGCCUGCUUGUUUCAAGAUCUCCUGAAGCUUCUCCACUGGCAAGGAAGUCUCCACUCCCAUAUGGAACACCAGAUGGCUCUCCAGAAGCUGAUGAUUCUCCACUGCCACUCACAUCUGGAACUCCAACACCUGAAACACCAGAUGGCUCCCCAGAGGCUGACAGUUCCCCACUGCCACUCACAUCUGGAACUCCGAGACUUGGAACAGUGACUGGUUCUCCAGAAGCCAGUGGUUCCCCACUGCCACUCACAUCCAAAAUGCUAACAUCUGGAACUCCAGAUGGCUCUCCAGAGGCUGAUGGCUCCCCACUGCCACUCAAAUCUGUAACUCCAAUAUCUGGAACUCCAGAUGGCUCUCCAGAGGCUGAUGGCUCCCCACUGCCACUCAAAUCUGUAACUCCAAUAUCUGGAACUCCAGAUGGCUCUCCAGAGGCUGAUGGCUCCCCACUGCUGCUCAUUUCUGGAAUUCCCACAUCUGGAAUACCAGAUGGCUCUCCAGAGGCUGAUGGCUCCCCACUGCCACUCACAUCCAGAA
rnacentral:lncRNA from 1 species